AAAAAAAAGCAAGAAACCAUAAAACCACACGUAUACACAAAAAGAUUACAUAAACACAAGGCAGAUGAGGCUUCUUUCACAACCAUAAAAUGACAGUUGGAUUAUUGGCCCUUUUGAUCACAGAUCUUAGCCAUUAAAAAGAGGGAGUGUUGUAAGUUUGGGUGGGUUGAUCUGGUUAGUAGCAAGUUCGUUAAGACCACCACCUCCAUCAUCAACAUCAUUUCCCUGUGUUGAGGCAACCUGUAAGUCGAUGAUCUACUCAGAGGUAAAACAUCUGCAGUCUACGGACCACAUCUGCAGAUAUCUGUAGCAGAAGAGGUGGACCAAACCUCUGCAGUCUGCAAGGAGAAGACUGUUUGUUUUUUAACUGUGUAUUUAUUUAGGGGUCUAAUAACAUACUUAUGUAUACAAUAAUAUGUAAUGGACCUCAAGAGUAUAUGCAGAAAAAUCAUAUU
rnacentral:lncRNA from 1 species